rnacentral:tRNA from 1 species
GGCCUCGUAGCUUACCUGGUAGAGCGUGCGCGUACAAAGUGGCGUCCUUGCGUGGGUUCGAAUCCCACUGAGGCUA